AGCAGUAGCCGCGGUAAUACGUAGGGUGCAAGCGUUAAUCGGAAUUACUGGGCGUAAAGCGUGCGCAGGCGGUUAUAUAAGACAGAUGUGAAAUCCCCGGGCUCAACCUGGGAACUGCAUUUGUGACUGUAUAGCUAGAGUACGGCAGAGGGGGAUGGAAUUCCGCGUGUAGCAGUGAAAUGCGUAGAUAUGCGGAGGAACACCGAUGGCGAAGGCAAUCCCCUGGGCCUGUACUGACGCUCAUGCACGAAAGCGUGGGGAGCAAACAGGAUUAGAUACCCGUGUAGUCCCUGUCUUUUAUAA
rnacentral:rRNA from 1 species